UACGGGGGGAGCAAGCGUUGUUCGGAUUUACUGGGCGUAAAGGGCGCGUAGGCGGCCAGCACAAGUCAGUUGUGAAAUCUCCGAGCUUAACUCGGAAAGGUCAACUGAUACUGUGCGGCUAGAGUGCGGAAGGGGCAACUGGAAUUCUUGGUGUAGCGGUGAAAUGCGUAGAUAUCGAAGAGGAACACCUGCGGCGAAGGCGGGUUGCUGGGCCGACACUGACGCUGGAGGCGCGAAAGCUAGGGGAGCGAACGGG
rnacentral:rRNA from 1 species